AGCGAACGCUGGCGGCAGGCUUAACACAUGCAAGUCGAGCGGGCGUAGCAAUACGUCAGCGGCAGACGGGUGAGUAGCGCGUGGGAACGUACCUUUUGGUUCGGAACAACACAGGGAAACUUGUGCUAAUACCGGAUAAGCCCUUACGGGGAAAGAUUUAUCGCCGAAAGAUCGGCCCGCGUCUGAUUAGCUAGUUGGUGAGGUAACGGCUCACCAAGGCGACGAUCAGUAGCUGGUCUGAGAGGAUGAUCAGCCACAUUGGGACUGAGACACGGCCCAAACUCCUACGGGAGGCAGCAGUGGGGAAUAUUGGACAAUGGGGGCAACCCUGAUCCAGCCAUGCCGCGUGAGUGAUGAAGGCCCUAGGGUUGUAAAGCUCUUUUGUGCGGGAAGAUAAUGACGGUACCGCAAGAAUAAGCCCCGGCUAACUUCGUG
rnacentral:rRNA from 1 species